GACGAACCGUGCGAACGUUGUUCGGAUUCACUGGGCUUAAAGGGCGCGUAGGCGGGUGUUCAAGUCCGGGGUGAAAUCCUCCAGCUUAACUGGAGAAUAGCCCUGGAUACUGAAUACCUCGAGGAAGGUAGGGGCAUGUGGAACUUCCGGUGGAGCGGUGAAAUGCGUAGAUAUCGGAAGGAACGCCGGUGGCGAAAGCGACGUGCUGGACCUUUUCUGACGCUGAGGCGCGAAAGCCAGGGGAGCAAACGGG
rnacentral:rRNA from 1 species